rnacentral:lncRNA from 1 species
AUCACAUAGCACCCCGCGAGUUUCGUUUAUCAUCAUCAAGGCAUUGCGUUGCAGGUAAGAGAACAAAGUCUUAAGGAGUUUUUCUUGUUUGUUUGCUGUUUUGCUAUACAGUAUAUAUAUGUGUGUGUGUGUGUGUGUGUUUGUUUUCUUUUGAUAUGCAUUAAUGUCUGAAUGUUUUGACCAUUUAUGCAGAUGAACAAUCAUUUCACUGCUCAAAGAUGAUGUCGUUCACAGAGCGAGCAGUCCUCAAAAUGUCUAAUCGGGUAACAGCAGUGACUGCACCCGAACAGAAGAUCGGAUUCAUGACAAAGGUCCAGAAUUUUUUCCGCCGUGGUUCUAAGACUGCGACUGCCAAGUCUGAACAAACAGACUCUGAAAUCAAAAUUGAUGGUAUGUACAGUAUAAAUAUAUAUAUAUAUAUAUAUAUAUAUAUAUAUAUAUAUAUAUAUAUAUGACCAAUGGAUCCUCUGCAGUGAAUGGGUGCCGUCAGAAUGAGAGUCAUACAGCUGAUAAAAACAUCACAAAAUACAAAAUAUCCAUAAGUGAUCCACAUGACUCCAGUCCAUCAAUUAACAUCUUGAGAAGUGAAAAACUGUGUGUUAGUAAGAGAC